rnacentral:misc_RNA from 1 species
GUCUUUUGGUUUGUAUAAUUUGGUAUGUUGAUUGGAAGAAAGGUUGAAAAAUGGGGUUGUUUUUAAAAGAAAAAAUAAUAGGGUGCGCCUCGGGGGUGAAAGAAAGCGCGGAAAAGAGCCAAAAAGGCUCCCUCACACGUUUCCAGCACCUAGAAGACGGCACCCUACAGUUGCAACCAAGGGGUGUAUUAAAAAGGACAGUGGUGUUCACUGAUGAUCCUUCCGCAGGUUCACCUACGGAAA